CACAGCCCCUCCUGAGCGACCUGUGCAAGCCUUUCUCGGAGCCAGUUUGGGCGAGUUCGGAGGAGACUUUCCCCCUCUGGCCCCGGAGUUGGCUGGGCUUGGUGAUGACGCUGGCCUCUGAAGAAUCCCCAUCAGGGGUCAGGGAGCCCACCUGGUUGAGAGGCCCCCGACGACCCACCAGACGGACGUUUGGGGACAGAGGCCGUGACAACCGAGUCACGAGCUGCUUCCUAGUUGUCUGACCUCGUGGAAAAUCAAUGCGCCUCUUGUUUUUGCCUCCUGAAAUAUUUCAUCGUGGUGGCUCUUCCCCAGGUGACAACAUAUUUUAUGACAAAGCGCACAGCAGACUGCUGGGCCCUGGUGGCUUCAGCGCAAACUGACAUCCUUGCCUGUCGCUGAAGAGGAUCACUGCAGGACUGGCAGGCAGGUGCUUCGUGCUAAUAAAACCGAGGAGACCAAGCAUUGGGAACGCCCGACCACACCGACCAGCAAAAGGAAGGCGCUUCUGGGACUCGGAACCACCGCUUCCACGGUUCCCGCUAUGGACGGAUGCCAAGGCAAGGCGUGAGCAGGCGAGGCACUGUGGCCAGGGGCAUGACGCGGUGGCCUCGGCUAGAGCGGAUCCUGAAGCCCUUGGCAGCCCCUGGCUGUUAGGCCAGGCCAUUGAAGAGGGGAUAGAGUAGAAUUCUGAACACCCCGAGCUGGUCCUGACCCGGAGGCAGCAUUCAUCAUUCCGCCCUCACAACUGCCGCUGCAUUUCUACCCGACAGAGCAGGAGACCGAGACUGGCUGGUGGCCACUUGCCCAAAGGCAUGGGGCUGUCAGGUGGCAGAGCGGCAUUUGAACCGAGGCCUGGUUUCGCCCAAGUCCCUGAGCCGUGUGCUCUUCAUGCUUCCUGCUCGUAGGACUUCUCCAUCCGGGCCGUGGGAAGAGCAACCACCACAUACGCGCGACUGGUGUCUUCGUGUUCUGUUUAUGGUAGAGAAAACGGCUCAGGACCUUCGUUCUAACCCCACACGCACUGACAGUGCAGCACGGUGGGCGGACAACGUGCCGGCAUGCUGGGGAGGGACACAGCCCAGACGGAGGCGCCUGUGCCACCCUGCACGGGGUCUGCAGCCAUGCCUGGGGCAGGUAUUUGCAUAAUUAUCAUCUCACUUGCCCAGGUUACCGGAUUCACUAUCGCGAGACUUCAGCCCCCUGCAGAUUGCUCCAUAGUCUUUCCCUGCCGUGGUCCCUUUCCUGACAGCUGGUAGGCGGUGAGUUCAUGGUGGAACAUCUUUUUGCACAGGUCAGUUCCUGGGGUCCUUAGCAUACCCCUGAGCAGAGCACAGGGCAGACGUUGGCCUCCCUGUUUUAUAGACCAGGGAGGAAGGCCAGGAAGCACCCCGGAAGGCCCCGCAGUUAGUGAGCAGGGCUGCAGGACAGGCCUCGUGGGCCGUUCUGCUCCUGAGCUGGUGUCCUCAACAAAGGCCUCUUUAUUUUUAUCCUGAUCUCACCGCCCGCCUGCACAGGCUCCCUAUUUUGGAAUAUGUUGCCAACGAAGCUGAACGUACCGAGUGACUGUGCUGUGUUUCCCAUUCUUAUUAAUCAAAGACACGUGCACCUGCCGUUCACGUCCCCUGAGCAGCAUCCAGCCUGGGGGCAGCCGGGACUUGAGACUUGGACUUAGUCUGGGAGGUUCGCUCGACAUCAAAGAGUCUUACUAAGUGCCAGGCGCUGUCAGAAGUGGCUAAAAUGCGUUGGUGAGCAGAACAAAGGCCCCAGAGCUUCGAUGCCGGCAAAGGGAAGACGGGAGGAACAGAAGCACGGAAGCAGCAGACGCUCUGUACACAGCCGUGCGCAGCGCAGCAAGGGGGCUGAGAAUGGGGGGGGCGAGCUGUCAUGUAAAACAGGGAUUUAGGGGCCAGGCAGUAGUGCAAUGGUAACACGAUGCUCUGCAGUGCUGGAUCCACAGAGGAUGGCCCCAGGUUCACGUCCUGGCCCUGGUGCACGCUGGGUGGUGUCUGUACGUCAUCCAGGCGGGCUGAGCCCAGGUAGAUCAUGGCAUGAAGACCUAAUGGGGUGCCUCUCUCUGCCUUUCUCUCUUUCUCGCUCUGUGUCAUGAAAGAGGUAAAUAUAAAGUUAAAAAUAAAAUAGCGGUUUAGGGCAGACCUUUAGAGACCCACAAAGAUAUUUAAUUGGCAUUUAAAAUAUUCAACCCAACCUAUAGACGUUUAUCUUAAGGAAUCCCAAGUUAGUAACCACUGGACUAAUAAACCCGCUGAGCCUGGAGCUGGUGGAACAUUGAGGGAGACUGAGUUUUUGGGGGUCGCGAUAGCCUGCUCGCUGCAGGUGCCGGGUGGGCUGUGGGGGAGGCCACGUGUGCCACGGCACCGGGCCUCUCUCUGGGUAAGUCGUCCCAGUCGUGGAUGUGCACUGCAGGCACAGGCUCAGCUGGCCAGGACGUUGACCCAGCACAGCCCAAAGCAGCAAAACCAGAGGGAAUGACUAAAAGCAGCAUGGGAAGUCGAUUUCACUCCUUGUACCAAAUCUGAGUGACUGCCAGAGUCUUCCUAAAAUUCUCGGCUGAGGACUGGAGAGCUUGCAAGGGCUCUGUGAGCCAGAGCACUGUGAUUGAUUGGUAAGGCCAACUGCAGACAGGGAGGUGGACGGUGGCUGCGGCUGGUCGUGAUUUGUUGACCCUAGUCUGAUCGGUCACCUAGGAAAGGUGCUCUGGUCUUUUUAUUUUUCUCUUUUUUAAGAGUUUGGUAUAGGGAAGAAG